rnacentral:rRNA from 1 species
GACGAACGCUGGCGGCGUGCUUAACACAUGCAAGUCGAACGGAAAGGCCCUGCUUUUGUGGGGUGCUCGAGUGGCGAACGGGUGAGUAACACGUGAGUAACCUGCCCUUGACUUUGGGAUAACUUCAGGAAACUGGGGCUAAUACCGGAUAGGAGCUCCUGCUGCAUGGUGGGGGUUGGAAAGUUUCGGCGGUUGGGGAUGGGCUCGCGGCUUAUCAGCUUGUUGGUGGGGUAGUGGCUUACCAAGGCUUUGACGGGUAGCCGGCCUGAGAGGGUGACCGGCCACAUUGGGACUGAGAUACGGCCCAGACUCCUACGGGAGGAGCAGUGGGGAAUAUUGCACAAUGGGCGGAAGCCUGAUGCAGCAACGCCGCGUGCGGGAUGACGGCCUUCGGGUUGUAAACCGCUUUCGCCUGUGACGAAGCGUGAGUGACGGUAAUGGGUAAAGAAGCACCGGCUAACUACGUG